rnacentral:rRNA from 1 species
UGGGGAAUAUUGGACAAUGGGCGAAAGCCUGAUCCAGCCAUGCCGCGUGUGUGAAGAAGGUCUUCGGAUUGUAAAGCACUUUAAGUUGGGAGGAAGGGCAGUAAGCGAAUACCUUGCUGUUUUGACGUGACCGACAGAAUAAGCACCGGCUAACUCUGUGCCAGCAGCCGCGGUAAUACAGAGGGUGCAAGCGUUAAUCGGAAUUACUGGGCGUAAAGCGCGCGUAGGUGGUUCGUUAAGUUGAAUGUGAAAGCCCCGGGCUCAACCUGGGAACUGCAUCCAAAACUGGCGAGCUAGAGUAGGGCAGAGGGUGGUGGAAUUUCCUGUGUAGCGGUGAAAUGCGUAGAUAUAGGAAGGAACACCAGUGGCGAAGGCGACCACCUGGGCUCAUACUGACACUGAGGUGCGAAAGCGUGGGGAGCAAACAGG